AAGAAAUAAGUGUAGUUUAACUGAAGUUGUGUUUAUGUUGGUAUUCAAAUGUCAACAAUGUUUUGUUUUGUUACAGAAAAUGUUUUAAGUUGAGUAAAGCUAAUUGAUACUGCUAAAACUGAGCUAAAAUACGACAUAUUCGGAAAAAGACAAGAUUGCAAUCAGGCAACCUAUUUUUUAUGGACAUUGGUGCAUAUGCAAAAUGUGAGGGGAUCUGGGUUCAAGUCCCACCGUUGGCACAUCAUAAGAAACAUUUCUACACCAUCUUUCACUCACGAGCUCCCAUUGGCCGAUCUGAGCCAUUUCCUUGUUUUGAUGAAUGUUAACUCAUUCAAGCUGGUUUGAAUCAACUACAUUCAACGCAAAAUAUUAAAUAAUAUACGUUUGCGAAACUUGUAAAAUAGUAAAUAUAUUUUACCCAUUGAUUAGUUGAGCUUGUGUUGCAUGUAUGUCUGUCUACAUUUUGCUUCAAUAGAUUUUCUAAUUAUGUUUUAUGAAACUUUUUAUAAUUUACAAUAAUUUAUGAAACAGAACCCAUGUGCACUGUAGUAGGGUGG